GACGAACGCUGGCGGCGUGCCUAAUACAUGCAAGUCGAACGAGAGCGCCCGGUGCUUGCACUGGUCAAUCUAGUGGCGAACGGGUGAGUAACACGUGGGUAACCUGCCCAUCAGAGGGGGAUAACAUCCGGAAACGGAUGCUAAAACCGCAUAGGUCUUCGAGCCGCAUGGCUUGAAGAGGAAAAGAGGCGCAAGCUUCUGCUGAUGGAUGGACCCGCGGUGCAUUAGCUAGUUGGUGAGGUAACGGCUCACCAAGGCCGGGAUGCAUAGCCGACCUGAGAGGGUGAUCGGCUACAUUGGGACUGAGACACGGCCCAAACUCCUACGGGAGGCAGCAGUAGGGAAUCUUCCGCAAUGGACGCAAGUCUGACGGAGCAACGCCGCGUGAGUGAAGAAGGUUUUCGGAUCGUAAAACUCUGUUGUUAGAGAAGAACAAGUGCUAGAGUAACUGUUAGCGCCUUGACGGUAUCUAACCAGAAAGCCACGGCUAACUACGUG
rnacentral:rRNA from 1 species